rnacentral:rRNA from 1 species
CUAAACCCAGAUGUCCCCUUACAUAUACAUCCGCCAGGGUACUACGAGCACAGCUUAAAACCCAAAGGACUUGGCGGUGUCUCAGACCCACCUAGAGGAGCCUGUUCUAGAACCGAUAACCCCCGUUAAACCUCACCACUCCUUGUUUCCCCCGCCUAUAUACCGCCGUCGUCAGCUUACCCUGUGAAGGCCAAACAGUAAGCAAAAUGGGUACACCCAAAAACGUCAGGUCGAGGUGUAGCGCACGAAGUGGGAAGAAAUGGGCUACAUUUUCUAAAUACAGAAUACUACGAACAGCACCCUGAAAACAGGUGCUCGAAGGUGGAUUUAGUAGUAAAAAGCAAAUAGAGAGUCCUUUUGAAUUAGGCUCUGAGACGCGCACACACCGCCCGUCACCCUCUGGAAGUCAA